ACGCUCACUUUGGCAGCACAGAUAGUAAAACUGCAAUGACACAGAGAAGUUAGCAUGACCCCUGUGCAAGGAUGACACGCAAAUUUGUGAAGCAUUCCAUACUGUU
ensembl:snRNA U6 U6 spliceosomal RNA